rnacentral:rRNA from 1 species
GCGACGCAUCUGCCAGGAUGUUUUCAUUAAUCAAGAACGAAAGUUAGGGGAUCGAAGACGAUCAGAUACCGUCGUAGUCUUAACCAUAAACGAUGCCGACCAGCGAUUAGGAGACGUUGAAUACAAAACACCACCAUCGGUUGCGGUCGUCCUUGGCGUCUCGGUUUCGGCCGGGGCGCGGGGAUGGCUUAGCCCGGUGGCACCGGUGAAUGACUCCCCU